UGAUUUUAGAGAGUCCAGAACCACAGCCAAAUCCGAGUGACAAGAUGGAGGGAGAAGAUGGAAUAGAGGCCUUAAAAUUAAUCCACUCUGAGCAAGAAAGAGGUGCCCUAUCCACCGAAAAACAUAAUUGUAUUUUGCAAACUCUAAGCUCUCCUGAUUCAAAAAAGGAAUCCUCCACUAACUCACCAACAAGAGAGCUCUAUAAUCACAGUGACAUUCUGAAAGAAGACCUUGAAGCCUGUGGAACAGCUGUCCUUCACCAGCCUCCGAGACUCUUACCUGGAGGUGGCAGCCAUGAAAAGCAAGUCAGAGUAGAAUUCAGCAUAAAUCCCAUGAAGGCGUGAGAAGUCAAGAUGAUGGUUUCUAAAAGGGCCUUGUCACAAGAAGACUUGGCCAAUCAUAUGUUCCAUUUAACAGAGCACAAGAUGAGGUUCACAAGUCCUGAAUGUGUAUACAUUACCUUCUGCAUCUGUACUAGUGAUCUCCAAACUGUGGAAAAUGCUGGAAA